GAGUUUGAUCCUGGCUCAGGACGAACGCUGGCGGCGUGCCUAAUACAUGCAAGUCGAGCGGACCGACGGGAGCUUGCUCCCUUAGGUCAGCGGCGGACGGGUGAGUAACACGUGGGUAACCUGCCUGUAAGACUGGGAUAACUCCGGGAAACCGGGGCUAAUACCGGAUGCUGAUUGAACCGCAUGGUUCAAUCAUAAAAGGUGGCUUUUAGCUACCACUUGCAGAUGGACCCGCGGCGCAUUAGCUAGUUGGUGAGGUAACGGCUCACCAAGGCGACGAUGCGUAGCCGACCUGAGAGGGUGAUCGGCCACACUGGGACUGAGACACGGCCCAGACUCCUACGGGAGGCAGCAGUAGGGAAUCUUCCGCAAUGGACGAAAGUCUGACGGAGCAACGCCGCGUGAGUGAUGAAGGUUUUCGGAUCGUAAAACUCUGUUGUUAGGGAAGAACAAGUACCGUUCGAAUAGGGCGGUACCUUGACGGUACCUAACCAG
rnacentral:rRNA from 1 species